UUAGGAAUCGUACACAAUGGACGAAAGUCUGAUGUCGUGACACCGCGUGAAGGAUGAAGGUUUUCGGAUCGUAAACUUCUUUUAUAUGGGAUGAUUAUGACCUUACCAUAUGAAUAAGCAUCGGCUAACUCCGUGCCAGAAGCCUCGGUAAUACGGAGGAUGCGAGCGUUAUCCGGUCUUAUUGGGCGUAAAGAGCAUGUAGGCGGUUUUGUAAGUCUAAUCUUAAAUCCCACGGCCCAACCGUGGAACUCGGUCAGAUACUGCAUAACUUGAGGAAUUGCAGGGGUAAGCGGAAUCUACGGUGUAGGGGUAAAAUCCAUUGAUAUCGUAGAGAACACCAAUGGCGAAGGCAGCUUACUAGGCAUUACCUGACGCUGAGAUGCGAAAGCGUGGGGAGCGAACGGG
rnacentral:rRNA from 1 species